rnacentral:lncRNA from 1 species
UCAUAUUCGAAUAUGAGGUUCAUAAACAAAGGAACAGAUUGCACAGUGGAAUAACAAUGUAUAAACUUUGUAUUACUAAGAAACAUGAGAUUCAAUACACAACUUCUUAACAGUCUCAUAGACAAUCACUAGUUCAUCCUUAGUAUCAUCUAACCACACGUUACAUAGCCUCUCAUCGACCGAGCCUUCACGGCUCCUUGUCUUGACCAGAACCAUCCUUAGUUCCUGAAACCACAACCAGAUAAGCAUUAAUCAUAACCAAGAAUAGAACGGAUUGAUUCUACAAUGCUUGGCUUGGUUCCUAGAAC